UCCAUUAUCAAGAACGAAAGUUAGAGGUUCGAAGGCGAUCAGAUACCGCCCUAGUUCUAACCAUAAACGAUGCCAGCCAGCGAUCCGGCUGUGUUCCUCAAAUGACACGCCGGGCAGCUUCCGGGAAACCAAAGCUUUUGGGUUCCGGGGGAAGUAUGGUUGCAAAGCUGAAACUUAAAGGAAUUGACGGAAGGGCACCACCAGGAAUGGAGCCUGCGGCUUAAUUUGACUCAACACGGGAAAACUUACCCGGCCCGGACACAGGAAGGAUUGACAGAUUAAGAGCUCUUUCUUGAUUCUGUGGGUGGUGGUGCAUGGCCGUUCUUAGUUGGUGGAGCGAUUUGUCUGGUUAAUUCCGAUAACGAACGAGACUCUAGCCUACUAAAUAGACGUUCCGAUCAUCUCCGUCGGACGUUCUUCUUAGAGGGACAAGCGGCGUUUAGCCGCACGAGACAGAGCAAUAACAGGUCUGUGAUGCCCUUAGAUGUCCGGGGCCGCACGCGCGCUACAUUGAAGGAAUCAGCGUGUGCUUUCCCUGUCCGACAGGACUGGGUAACCCGUUGAACCUCCUUCGUGCUGGGGAUAGGGGCUUGUAAUUGUUCCCCUUGAACGAGGAAUUCCCAGUAAGCACGAGUCAUAAGCUCGUGUUGAUUACGUCCCUGCCCUUUGUACACACCGCCCGUCGCUACUACCGAUUGAAUGAUUUAGUGAGGUCUUCGGACUGGCGCUCGGAGCGGCCCUCGGGUCGCGCCGGCGUGCCGGAAAGAUGACCAAACUUGAUCAUUUAGAGGAAGUAAAAGUCGUAACAAGGUUCC
rnacentral:rRNA from 1 species